rnacentral:rRNA from 1 species
CCUACGGGAGGCAGCAGUGAGGAAUAUUGGUCAAUGGCCGCAGGGCUGAACCAGCCAAGUCGCGUGAGGGAUGACGGUCCUAUGGAUUGUAAACCUCUUUUGUCAGGGAGCAAAGGGCGCCACGUGUGGCGUUUUGCGAGUACCUGAAGAAAAAGCAUCGGCUAACUCCGUGCCAGUAGCCGCGGUAAUACGGAGGAUGCGAGCGUUAUCCGGAUUUAUUGGGUUUAAAGGGUGCGCAGGCGGAAUGUCAAGUCAGCGGUAAAAUUUCGGGGCUCAACCCCGUCGUGCCGUUGAAACUGGCGGUCUUGAGUGAGCGAGAAGUAUGCGGAAUGCGUGGUGUAGCGGUGAAAUGCAUAGAUAUCACGCAGAACUCCGAUUGCGAAGGCAGCAUACCGGCGCUCAACUGACGCUCAUGCACGAAAGCGUGGGUAUCGAACAGGAUUAGAUACCCGUGUAGUC